CCUAAGGGUUUCCUUUUUAUCCCUUUUGCCUUAGGAGUCACCUGUGUAGUUUAUGAAUGCUACCUUGGACUGAUCCCUACCUCAUCUUUGUUCUCAAGAGGCAGAAACAGCCUGGAGAAGGAAGACAUUUAACACCUGACUCCAAGCGUUCACCAUAAGGCUUUGGCCCCAGUACAAAAACCCAUGGGAAUUUGAGAUACAUGAGACCAUCCUGGGAGACAUGGCCAGCCUGGGAUACAUGAGGCACUGAGAGAGAUCAAGAAAAUGAACAGAGUGAGAGAGGAACUAACGGUGGAAGAAUGAAAGGCAUUUUGAAAAUACAGCCUAAAUGUCACACACCACGACAGAGAAAUGUGCUCCCAGCGAGAGACAAUUUCCUCCAUGAACUAGGUAAGCUGUGUGGGUAAAUAACCUGCCCUCGCCAGAGUCCCACAGCUGUUUCGGGGGCACGACACAAGGUCAGGGGAGAGCUAGCAAGCCAAAAAUGUCCUCUAGCAGCCUCACACAAAGGCCAGACCAGAUAUCAGCAGUGAAAUGAGACGGUCUAUUUUCAGGCUUCUAGAGCCA